rnacentral:rRNA from 1 species
CCUACGUGGAGCUGCAGUCGAGAAUCAUUCACAAUGGGGGAAACCCUGAUGGUGCGACGCCGCGUGGGGGAAUGAAGGUCUUCGGAUUGUAAACCCCUGUCAUGUGGGAGCAAAUUAAAAAGAUAGUACCACAAGAGGAAGAGACGGCUAACUCUGUGCCAGCAGCCGCGGUAAUACAGAGGGCACAAGCGGUGUUCGGAAUCACGGGGCGUCAAGCGUGCGUAGGCUGUUUCGUAAGUCGUGUGUGAAAGGCGCGGGCUCAACCCGCGGACGGCACAAGAUACGUCGAGACUAGAGUAAUGGAGGGGUAACCGGAAGUCUCGGUGUAGCAGUGAAAUGAGGAGAUAUCGAGAGGAACACUCGUGGCGAAGGCGGGUUC